rnacentral:rRNA from 1 species
GAAUUGACGGGGGCCCGCACAAGCGGUGGAGCAUGUGGUUUAAUUCGAUGCAACGCGAAGAACCUUACCUACUCUUGACAUCCAGAGAACUUUCCAGAGAUGGAUUGGUGCCUUCGGGAACUCUGAGACAGGUGCUGCAUGGCUGUCGUCAGCUCGUGUUGUGAAAUGUUGGGAUAAGUCCCGCAACGAGCGCAACCCUUGGCCUUUGUUGCCAGCGGUCCGGCCGGGAACUCAAAGGAGACUGCCAGUGAUAAACUGGAGGAAGGUGGGGAUGCCGUCAAGUCAUCAUGGCCCUUACGAGUAGGGCUACUCACGUGCUACAAUGGCGCAUACAAAGAGAAGCGACCUCGCGAGAGCAAGCGGACCUCAUAAAGUGCGUCGUAGUCCGGAUUGAGUCUGCAACUCGACUCCAUGAAGUCGGUAUCGCUAGUAAUCGUAGAUCAGAAUGCUACGGUGAAUACGUUCCCGGGCCUUGUACACACCGCCCGUCACACCAUGGGAGUGGGUUGCAAAAGAAGUAGGUAGCUUAACCUUCGGGAGGGCGCUUACCACUUUGUGAUUCAUGACUGGGGUGAAGUCGUAACAAGGUAACCGUAGGGGAACCU